CAGUAGCCGCGGUAAUACGAAGGGGGCUAGCGUUGUUCGGAGUUACUGGGCGUAAAGCGCGUGUAGGCGGGUCUUUAAGUCAGAGGUGAAAUGCCAAGGCUCAACCUUGGAACUGCCUUUGAUACUGGAGAUCUUGAGUCCGGGAGAGGUGAGUGGAAUUGCGAGUGUAGAGGUGAAAUUCGUAGAUAUUCGCAAGAACACCAGUGGCGAAGGCGGCUCACUGGCCCGGAACUGACGCUGAGACGCGAAAGCGUGGGGAGCAAACAGGAUUAGAUACCCCCGUAGUCCCUGUCUCUUAUAC
rnacentral:rRNA from 1 species